CGAAUUCACCAAAUAAAUUCAAUUUGACUAAUUUUUAAUUCCCUUCUUCAAUUUUGCUCUAUCUGAACUUGGGCUUCUUCUCAAUUCACAGCGGCCAACCCAUCCAACAUUUCAAUUAGACAAUACCAUCAGCCGACCCAUCAGAAAUACCCAACCCAAAUCCCAUUUCAUCAAUACCAACUCCUAGCCCACUCCAAUUUUGUCGACCCGACCCACCCUUAUUUUAGUUUUCCUCUCUAAUGUAACAACGACAUUUUUCACGGCGUAGCAACGACAUUGAUACGUGAACGGCACAUAUAUGCUCCAUAUGCGCCUUGUUCCUUCCCACGCGAGGGCGAGUAGACAAAAAUCACGUUCAACAUCCUUAAAGGACGCGGCUAGACGGAAAAAAAGAGGAAUACCUGCCCUUUUGUCGUCUUCUUCCUCAUUCCCCUCAGACCAGUACAGUCCUCAGUUGAGAAGAACACGUGUUUCCGUCCUUGGGAUCGUGAGAUCAAGCCACGUCUCACCCCAAGGACUAUCGAAAUCAUCAAACCGUCCAUCCUCCUUUCCAGUUUUGGGAAUGUCUUGAAGCCUCAGAAAAGAUGUUUAUCCAAAUUGAUGAAAGUUUUUUGGGAAUUCAAAAGGAAAGUGGUCCACGUUCCUAUCCGCUUGUGCCCGUUUCCCUCCAAUAGAACCCUAAUUUUUCCCCCAUAUAUAAUCACUUGUGAUUCACUGUUAAAGGAAUUUUUUUGGAAGAGAAUUAUUCUUGAGCGGAAAAUAGACAAAAAAAUUACCUUAAGCAGAGUAAUAGAAAUGGGCACUAAAAAUACUUUUUAAACAGGGGAAAUAGUCGAUUUCGGCCAGCUCUUCUGUUCUUUUGUUGCUGGUGUUCCUCCCCAUUAUUUUUUUGUCAAGAUUCGAAAAUUCAUUUGGGUCUCUUGCUGCUGUUCGGCCCUGUGCUCGUGGGGUAGAAGUCACUUCGAAGUUCGUCGUCACUGUUCACUGCACAUAAGCAGGUAUUGCAUUUUGACAUGCUAACUUGGAUAGGUUGCAAUAUUCCGACAUAAAUAUGGGAUCAGGUGUCACGUUCUGGCAUAAAGAUUAGAUCGGGGUUAUCGGGCUUCACAUAACCAUUGCAAUUGUAGGUUGGGGAUGGGAUUAUUGGGGAUUAACACAAGAAGGACUGCCGCGAGGAGAGUAGGAGAGUAGAUUGGGAAUGCAGGAGCGACUCCCCAAGGCAAUCGAAAUGCUCCUCAAGUGCAAGCUGCUGCAAAUGAUCAAGUUCCAGGAAUCCUGCAGCUAUGACGAAUGGUCAAGUGAGGGCUGCCCUGUCCCAAAUGGCCCAAUCCAUCACCCCCAAGAUCAAACCAUCACGGCUCAAGCGAACAGGGAGGUUGUUCCUCGAGAGAAGCAACAUGCUAGUACUAUAGCAAGUUGUCUGAGAGACUUUACGCGAAUAAAUCCUCCAAAGUACUUUGGAUCGAAAGUUGAUGAAGACCCCCAAGAUUUCCUUGAUGAGGUAUAUAAUAUUUUGUUUUCUAUGGGUAUGAGUUCUAUGGAAAAGAUUGAACUUGCUGCCUAUAAACUCAAGGACGUGGCUCAGACAUGGUACAACCAGUCGAAAGAUAGUAGGGCUUUAGGAGGUGGUCUCUUGACUUGGGAGAUCUUCAAAAAGGCCUUUCUUGACAGAUUCUUUCAAAGGAAAUAAAGAGAAGAUAAGGUAGAGGAGUUCAUCAACCUUCUCAAAGGAGGUAUGAGUGUUAAGGAAUACUCCUUAAAACUCAUGAAGCUUUCCAAAUAUGCUUCUUCUUUGGUUUCCAAUGCUAGGUAUGAAAUGAGCCGCCAUGUAACAGGCGUGUCUGAAGAUCUUGAAGAAGAAUGUUGUGCAGCCAAUCUUCAUGACAAUAUGGAUCUUUCUAGGUUGAUAUUUCAUGCUCAACAAGUUUAGGAAAGUCGCCUAAGGAAGAGGAAUAGGGAAGCUAAGAAGGCAAAGUUUUUUGAAGGUAGUUCUUCUAAGAGUAGGCUUGAUGUUCAAGACAAGACUAAGUUUAAGAAGAGGUUUUCAAAUCAAGUUUCUUAUAAUUUCUCCAUGAAUCGCAAUGAUAGAGGUUCUAUUCCUAACCCUCAAGAGGGGAGAAAUGUUUAUCAACCAAAAGAGAGACUAACUUAUGAUAAGUGUGGUAAGAAACAUGCGGGUGAAUGUCUUGUUGGGACUAAUAGUUGCUAUGGUUGUGGAAAAGGUGGACAUAUGGUGAAAGAUUGUCCUAAUGUGAGAACUCAAGGUAAGGGUAAUAGCCAAGCUCAACCAAUAGGUUCUAGUGUGAAGCUCCAAAAAGGAAUUGUUUCUAUGCACUCAAGGCUAGGGGUGAACAAGAAAUCCCUCCUGACGUUGUGACGGGUUCCGGCCAUUGAAGUUUAAGCUAGUUGAUUUGAAAAAGCUUGGAACUCUUUCUCCAAGUCCUGGGAGGAGAUUUAACAAGCUAAAAGACUUUGCUAAGAAAUUGAAGGGGGUGAGGCGAGACAGUCACGCUAAGGCAUUGGCUAAAAGGGACAAAAACUAGGGUAAAUUUAAAGAUUCUUACUCCAAAGGGAAGGAGAGGCAAAGACUUGCAGCCAUGCCAAUGCAGUAUUCCAUGCCAGCCUCUAUACGUGAUUACUAUAGAACUCCACCUCAUUAUUUGAUUCAGAAUAGCCAAGGAGUCGCACAUUUGAUGGGUGACAGACCAUCUUUUGAUCGUACUUACUAUGAUUGUGGAGAACCUAGGAAUAUGAGGAGAUAUUAUCCCCACCCACAUGUGUCUGCACAAUACCCGUCUAGAGCAGUGGUACCUACAAAAAUUGGUAAUAAUAGUAAAGGGUGUCAACAAGUGGGAGAGGAGGAAAUCAUUGAGGCCGAGGAGGCAUAGGAAAUAGAAAUGCAGGCAGAGGUAUAGUGCAGCCAUGCAGAGAAGUAACAUGACAAAAUGAUACGACAUAGUGUUACGAUUUUCCGAGUAAGAAAAAGGUAUAAUUUGAAGUUCAUCAUAUGAAGUCAAAUGUGACCUUGCGCAAUGUGUUAUGGCAUAUAGGAAUUGGAGGUUUGAUAUGCUAUGGAUAAUAGAUAGGUUUCUAAUGGUUGAAGAUGAAGUACGGUGAGUCCUCCUAGAUUCAAGGACAGACCCACAUCUUAUUUUAUGGUCUUUUAGUCAUUAUUUUUAAGUCUUGCAUGGGCGUAGUCCCAAAUGUUGUACUCCAAAAGUUAUUAGAUGGUUUUAUGAUACAUAUUGUUAAGUUAUAUGUUUUAAAGUCUUCCGUUUGCUUAGUAAUGAAAGUAUUCUUCAUGUGUGAAAA